UUGACCUCGGAUCAGGAGGGAUA
rnacentral:rRNA from 1 species